UCCUCUCUGAAAUAAAUAAAAAUAUAUUUUUAAAAAGGGAAUAAAAAAACUGCCACUUUUACUAUGAUACCGUGCUUUCAUAUCACUUAGGCUUUUUCUUUUAUACUUAUUAAAAGACUCCACUGUAUAUAUAUUUUAAAUAAUAUAUUCCUUUUGAGAACUAUCGUUUUCUGUUCAGCUUUUCAGCCCCUUUGUUUCUUCCACUUACAAACCAGCCAACACUUCAAAGAGGAAGGAAAGCAGCUUGGGGUGUCCCACUCACCUCACGGCAUUUCUUUUCUCCCUGAAAUCUUGGACCCUCAACCCCUGGAGUAUCUUAGUAGCUCUUUGUUGCUUUCAAACAGGUGUGUGUGUGUGUGUGUGUGUGUGUGUGUGCGCACACACACCUGUACUUAUUGUAUUUCUAGCUACUGUCAGUGGGAGUAGUUUGAUAGACACUGACUUGUCAAGAUCUUGUGUGACCAUAUAAUUUAUCCUCCAAACAAGGACAUUUCUGAGAGUGAAAGGGGGCACUAUUAAUAACACUGGAUCACCGAGCAUGCCUUGUGACUGUCUCAGACAACCAGGAACACAUGACCACCCUAAUCAUAGCCCCCUUUGCACUGCUGUAAAUACAUACAACAAAAACAGGAAAGAUUCCCUAUUAAAUUUUUUUUUUUACUGUAGAAACUAUCAUUUAUUGAAUACCGGUUAUUUCAUAAACUGUACUAAGUGUUUUACAUUCGUUUUCUCAUUUCAAUCCUCACAACAACCCAUUUACAAAGAAGAAAACAAACUCAGAAAAAUUAGGUCACUUGCCCAAGGUCGUACAGCUCGUCGGUGGUGGAGCAGGGUUUUGUCUGUGGCCGAAAGCCCCUGCUCUUUUAGUGACCCAUCUAGGUCAGCUUUGGGCAAAAGGCAACUUCACUGCUCAGCUCAGCAAAGAGCACCUGGGAGUGGAGGUUGCUGGCCACACUCACCGCUGGUCAGGAUGCACUGAAGCAGACUUGAUGUUGGUUUUUAUUCCACUUGGCAUUUCCCCUGGUUGACCUGCGUGGGCCCUUUGCACCCCGCUGAGCACCGACUGCUGCUGGCUUGGAGCACCUGAGAACAUGGAUGGGUGUGUGCCUGUUACCAACUUGGUGCUUCCCUGCUCCAAACACACCCUUCUCUGCCCCGCUCUGUGAUCCUGUCAGCCAGUGCCACCCGUUGGCCUUGUCAGUCCUAACACCAGGAAGGUGCUAGAGGAACACAGGCUUCUCUUCCUCGUUCCAGAACUUUCUGCUGGUUUCUACAGCACAGCUGCCAGUGGGCGGCUUCCCAAUGAGAUUUUGCCAUCACCCAGCACACAGUUUCCUGCUUGCCAACCGCAGCCUGCAGCACCUCAGCAAACUCCUCUGCCCUCCCGUGGGCCACCACCACGCCCUCACCAAUGAGUGCUGGCGGGGAGGGAGGGCCAUUUCCACGUUUAUUCCUUCCGUGGGAUUUCUAUGUCAUCUCUGGAGGCUGUGGCUGCUCCCUGUGUAUGUGCUUUCUGUAUUCUUUAGAGUCCUAUUUACCCCAUUCAGUGGUUAAUUUUCGUUUACUAAUUAACAAUUCUCUAUAUUGCAUGCUCCCUGUUCAAAGGACUGGUGUGGUUUCUGGAUCCUGGCUGAUACAGAAUACAUUAAUUACUUCUUUCACUUCUCAUUUGAGAACAAGGUCUUUCAAAGAAAAUGGAGAACAUAGUGGUUGGUAAAUACAGAAGUGAAAUUUCUGGGUCAUAAGGUAGCAGUUAUAAAUUCCACCAUGACCCCUGGACUACAAGAAAUGCCAAGCUCAACCGUAAACUUCAUUGUCAGUUUCCUAACCUGUAAAUGGGAUCAAAUGAGAGAACCUAUGGUGACUAGCACAGGGUCUGCCGUGUAGUAAUCAUUCACUAAGUGGUAACCAGAGAGGGUGUUACUGCUGCUGUUGUUGUAGUUAGUUAGGUUCCUCACACCACACUCUGAUCCCAGGGAGAAAAUGUUCCUCCGUGAUUGCUUGAAGAGGGAACUGGCUAAGGAAAGUAGCGGUAAGUAGCAACAGGUCCAAAUGCCAAGAAUUUCUCAUUGAGUUCCCAGAGAAGUGAGUAUGGGAGCGCCGGGGCCAAAAAGGCAGACAAUAGCAAACCAGAGUGAGGAUGUGGAGAAAUCAGGAUCUUCACACACUGCUGAUGGGGAGCUAAAAUGGUGCAGCCACUUUGGGGAACAGUCUGGCCGUUUUUUGAACAAAAUCCAAUAAAUGAAAGAUAUAAAUAUGAAAGAAACAAAUACACCGAAACACAGGAAGAGGAGGUCUCAACAGGCCUGGAACUGAACCUACAAGGAGUGGUUAAAAGAAGGCAAAGUUAGACUGAAGAAGGAAAUCUCAGUCCACAAUGUGUAGAGGAGCCAAGAAGAGAGUCUUUCCAAAGGUACUGGGAGCAGCGCUUAGGAUGCUUCAGACCCAAGUGGGGUAAAGAUGUGGGAGGAGAUCCAGGGACUACUGCGAGGGUACUUAGUUGGGGCACUGAGGCAGGAGCAGGUAGCACCCCCAUCGUAACCCAGGCAGCUAUGGUGGGGUGUGGGAGUUUAGAGCAGAGAGACAAGGCAGUACUUAGGUGGCAAGGAUCACCCAGGAGAAACUGGCAGCGCCCAAACCCAGAAGACCAGCUGCUAAGAUACCCUACUCCAGGGGUGGGCAACCCAUGGCACGCGUGCCAAACAUGGCAUGCCAGUAACUUUUGCUGGCACAC